UUGAACGCUGGCGGCAGGCCUAACACAUGCAAGUCGAGCGGAUGAAGGGAGCUUGCUCCUGGAUUCAGCGGCGGACGGGUGAGUAAUGCCUAGGAAUCUGCCUGGUAGUGGGGGAUAACGUCCGGAAACGGGCGCUAAUACCGCAUACGUCCUGAGGGAGAAAGUGGGGGAUCUUCGGACCUCACGCUAUCAGAUGAGCCUAGGUCGGAUUAGCUAGUUGGUGGGGUAAAGGCCUACCAAGGCGACGAUCCGUAACUGGUCUGAGAGGAUGAUCAGUCACACUGGAACUGAGACACGGUCCAGACUCCUACGGGAGGCAGCAGUGGGGAAUAUUGGACAAAGGGCGAAAGCCUGAUCCAGCCAUGCCGCGUGUGUGAAGAAGGUUUUCGGAUUGUAAAGCACUUUAAGUUGGGAGGAAGGGCAGUAAGUUAAUACCUUGCUGUUUUGACGUUACCAACAGAAUAAGCACCGGCUAACUUCGUG
rnacentral:rRNA from 1 species